rnacentral:tRNA from 2 species
CGGGGUAUGGCGCAGUCUGGUAGCGCAUCUGCUUUGGGAGCAGAGGGUCGGGGGUUCGAAUCCCUCUGCCCCGACCA